AUUGAACGCUGGCGGCAUGCCUUACACAUGCAAGUCGAACGGUGUCUUCGGACAUAGUGGCGCACGGGUGCGUAACACGUAUGCAACCUACCUUACAUUGGGGGAUAGCCUUUCGAAAGGGAGAUUAAUACCGCAUAAGACAGUAGCUGGGCAUCCAGCAGCUGUUAAAGAUUUAUCGAUGUAAGCUGGGCAUGCGUCCAAUUAGCUAGUUGGUGAGGUAACGGCUCACCAAGGCAAUGUUUGGUAGGGGAACUGAGAGGUCAAUCCCCCACACUGGCACUGAGAUACAGGCCAGACUCCUACGGGAGGCAGCAGUAGGGAAUAUUGGGCAAUGGACGCAAGUCUGACCCAGCCAUGCCGCGUGCAGGAUGAAGGCGUUAUGCGUUGUAAACUGCUUUUAUACAGGAAGAAACGACUCUUGCGAGAGGCAUUGACGGUACUGUAUGAAUAAGCACCGGCUAACUCCGUGCCAGCAGCCGCCGUAAAAC
rnacentral:rRNA from 1 species